AUAUUCUGGAGCAGCUCAUGGGCCUAGCAUUUCACGGACCAUAUUUUGGGCAGUGCUGCUACAGCAGAAAGGAAAUGGGUGACCUCUUCCUUGCUGGUAAUAGUAAGGUUGUCUGAGAGAAGAAAGGUUUGAAGGGGGGCCCAAACACCAAACUGCUUUUGAGUCAUUCCUGGGGAAGGUCAAGGUCUAUAGUGUGCCUUGUUUCACUUUAGAGUCAACAUCUCGCUAUUUGGGGGGAACGGACUUUAGAACAGAAAAAAAUAGCUGCUUGGGAGAAAGAGUUUCACUGCUAUGAGAUGUCAAGUCCCUAAAGUUAAAUGUUACUGAUGGAAGAAUACAGCUGAAGAAGAGCUCUUGGCUUGACUGAGUAGCUGAUCUCUUUACAAGAAGGGAUACAAGCCCUGCAGUGGAACUCACUGCUGAUCCUUCAGACUUGUCUUUCUAGGUUUAUCCUGCAGACCUUAUCACUGCAUAGCAGUAGUUCACGCUAACAUACAACUGCACAUGUCUGCUCUCAGAAAGCCUUUCACCUGGCCAAAGACAAGGCAACCAUGCUCCCCAAAGACGCUCGCCCACCUUUACUACAAAAUUGGUUCUCUGUGUAGCAUAUUAAUGCCUGCCACAAGGGUGCUAUCAACCAGAAUCUUCAGUGAAUCUUCUUUGUCUGAAUUGCACAUAUCUCAGAGGAGAAUAGAGAAUGUGUAAGGACACCGUGGCCCAUGCAUUGACACUGUCAUAGAUAAAGCAUAGUUACUCGCUAUCAGUUCUACCCACAGCCAAAGUCCAGGUUCCACCUCCUUUAGCAAGCCUUCUCGAAGGACUCCAUGCCUCACUGAUCUUCCUCCUCACUGAACGCCACAGACCAAGAACCCAUAAUGUCCUCCUCAGGAACCAGCACAGUCCCAAAGUCCACAGAACUCAAAAGAACGCUGGUAGAUUGAUUUGCUCUACCAUCAUCUCAACAGUGCUUUCCUCGGGUGUAGCAUGAUGCAUUUUAACACAAUUAAAAUGACAUGUUAGAAAUGUUGCUGAUGGGGUUGCUGGGGCAAUGACUUCUUUCAAAGUCUUCCCUCUAUUUACUGCACUCAUGGAAGUGAGUCUCAUGGGAAGCUAUGUCUUAGCUGAAAGCCUGUCUUCAAAGUCCUUUGGCAAGGAAGUUUUCUGUUAUGAAUAAAUUAGUAUCACAAGUAACUUUUUCAAGUGUUUUUCCAUACAAUUGACACUUCUAAUAAUGAAAAAGAAUCAAGCUUCUGACUCUGCACACAGUGGCAAAUAUUGGCAUGUGUAAUCUGGGGCCUGUUGGGUGAAGAUCCUUAAGUUACCACAACCUAUUGGUAGAGUGUCUCUAAAUUUUGGAUGUAGCCAGUCCCAAACUGACUUGUAAAAGUGUCAGCUUGGACAGUGUUUCACAAACUGGGAUUGGAGAAAGACCACAGUUCUGAAAGAUGCUGCUCGGUAUUGCUCAGUGCUACUAGAUGGACUUGGUGUUGAGAGCAUGAG
rnacentral:lncRNA from 1 species